CAUAAGUCAUAGGACAGACAGGACGCCGCGAGCAGUCCUCAUCUUGGUUCCCAAAAUCCAGCCGGAGGCGCGGCGACGGCGUGCCCCAAUCGGGACGGACGGCGGCGGAGGCUUUACGAUGGGUCGCGGUCUCGGCCGCCGGUGGUUCGCUCCCCGGCCGGUCGUCCCACUCCUGGCUUUCCCCCAUCCGCACUAACACCGAGUCAAUCCAAGUCAGUCUCUUCCCAGUUCUUACCAAGAAAGAAGAACGUACUAGUAGCUUAUUUUAAUCUCGCCGGCGAAAUUUACCACCUGCCUUAAUUUCGCUGAAGACUCGAUUACUGUACUGGGCCUACUAGCUAGUUGAAAGCUACGACAGUGAUGCCCAAUAGCGAAAAAAUUAAAAGUUUCAAGAUUUCAUUAACUAAUAUCUAAACACGACUAUGCAACUGAAGACUGUGUACGUACGUUGGCCGCGUCAGCUAGCUUGAUGAUGGUCUCUAAUCUCCAUUAAUGGCUCAACAAGCCACCAAAAGCUAAGGUUCCAUCGUUUUCAGCUGGAUAUACAAGCCAUCGAUCAACUCUUGGUAUUUAAUUCCUCAUUCCUAGCUAAUGCUAACCAACCUCACAUUGCCGUCCCACCGUAGUGAAUUCGAUGGCUGUCACACUCAAAUCUACACCUACUCUUUCUUUAGAACGAAGCGUCAAGGAGAAAUGGCCGGCCUUUUGGAUAUUAUACUUCAUUCAGCAGGCAAAACGAAUCACUGUGUCUCUCUCAGCACCUAAGAUAUUCACAAAGGUGGGUACUAAUCGGCUAGCUCAGGUCGCUCACUCGGUGGUUCAGGCCACGCAGACGGCGUUCAUGCCUGGACGGAACAUCCUGUAAGGGGUAGUUGUUCUGCAUGAAACAUUACAUGAAAUUCACUCGAAGAAACUAGAUGGGUUGAUUUUGAAAAGGCAUAUGAUAAAGUAAAAUGGUCUUUCUUGCAACAAACUCUACGUAUGAAGGGGUUUGACCAGUUAUGGCGGAAGCAUGUCGACUGUUUUAUUAAAAAAGGCAGUGUCGGUAUCAAGUGAAUGAUGACGUUGGUCAUUUUUUCCAGACACUUAAGGGUCUACGACAAGGGGAUCCUAUGUUGCCGAUUCUUUUCAACAUUGUUGCCGACAUGUUGGCCUUGAUGAUUAGGAGGGCUAGUGACAACGAUCUAGUAGGAGGACUUGUACCGCAUCUCGUGAAUGGGGGUGUCUCAAUCUUACAAUAUGCCGAUGAUACCAUUAUCUUUAUGCAGCAUGAUUUAGAGAAGGCCCGGAAUAUGAAACUCAUCUUAUGCUUGUUUGAACAAUUGUCUGGGUUAAAGAUUAACUUUAGCAAAAGUGAAAUAUUUUGUUUUGGACGGGCAAAGGCGGAACAACAUACUUACAACCAACUGUUUGGGUGUGAGUGUGGGACAUUUCCGUUUACUUAUUUGGGUGUGCCUAUCCAUCACCGGAAACUUGCAAACAAGGAGUGGAAAUGUAUCGAAGACCGAUUUGAAAAGAAGCUAAGUUGCUGGAAAGGCAAGCUUUUAUCUUAUAGAGGACGUUUAGUACUUGUUAAUUCAGUAUUAACUAGUAUGCCGAUGUUCCUCUUAUCCUUCUUCGAGCUACCUAAAGGGGUAAGGAAGAGGUUAGAUUUCUAUCGGUCACGUUUCUUUUGGCAAAGUGAUGAAGUGAAAACAAAGUAUAGGCUUACUAAAUGGGACAUCAUUUGCAGACCCAGAGAUCAAGGGGGUUUAGGGGUGGAGAAUUUAGAGGUUAAAAACAUAUGCUUGCUAAGUAAAUGGCUGUUUAGAACUUCGGUAGAAACCGAAGGCAUGUGGGUGCAAAUUCUAAGGAAUAAGUACUUGCAACAUAAGACCUUAGCUCAGGUGACCGUUAAACCGAAUGAUUCUCCAUUCUGGAAAGGAAUGAUGAGGUGUAAGAACGUGUUUUUUAACCAGACUAGGUUUGUCAUUGCUAAUGGUGAAUCAACUAGAUUCUGGGAGGAUACAUGGUUAGGGGAUGUGCCCCUAGCACUGGAAUAUCUGCAGCUAUACAAUAUUGUCCAACGCAGACAAGCGUCGGUUGCGGCAGUCUUGAGCCACACGCCUCUAAAUAUCCGGUUCCGUCGAUCUUUGAUUGGGGAAAGAUGGACCAGAUGGCUACACUUAGUUAGAAGGUUAAUGCAAAUCCAACUGUCGGAUAGGCCCGACACUAUUCAUUGGAAGCUAACUAAGGAUGGAUCCUUUUUGGUAAAAUCUAUGUACCUUCAUCUUAUUGAUUCGGGGUACAUUCCAAGAUCCAAGCAUGUCUGGGAGGUCAAAGUUUCGUUGAGGAUAAAGAUCUUUAUGUGGUUCGUUCACAAAGGUGCUAUCCUAACGAAAGACAACUUGGCAAAACGUAAAUGGAAAGGCAACCAGUGAUGCAACUUUUGUGACAAUAAGGAAACUAUCAAGCACCUCUUUUUCCAAUGUCCGAUGGCUAAAAUCCUAUGGCGUUCUAUACACAUUGCUUUUAAUAUCACCCCCCCCCUAGUGUCAACACGUUGUUUGGGACGUGGGUAGAGGGAGUUGGUGGUCAUUUGGCAAAGAGUAUCCGUGUUGGAGCUUGUGCAUUACUGUGGGCAAUUUGGAACUGCAGGAAUGAUUUAAUGUUUAACAGAUGCACAUCUAUCAAUUUUUUGCAGGUUAUAUACAGGGCUACCGCACAGACCCGCACGUGGUCAUUACUCACUCCUGCGGAUUCCAGUGAGCUUAUGGUUACUGAGUGUGUCCGCUGGGAGAUGGUAGCACAGGGUAUCUUCAACCGGUUUGGAUGGCGGCAAGCUAAUAGGAUAGGUGGCUAGUCAUCUACUUAUUAUACCAUCGCUGCUUGGGCGCUUUGGACGCUUUGUAUCGCUUCGUUUUUGUUCUUUAGUCUCAACAUUGAUGUACUCGUUCCGGAUUUGGUUUCUUUUUUAUUAAUAAAAGGCUGCAUGCAUCUCUCGAUGCAGACGCCGGGG
rnacentral:lncRNA from 1 species